AGAGUUUGAUCCUGGCUCAGGAUGAACGCUAGCUACAGGCUUAACACAUGCAAGUCGAGGGGCAGCAUGGACCCAGCUUUGCUGGGUUUGAUGGCGACCGGCGCACGGGUGAGUAACGCGUAUCCAACCUGCCCUUUACUCCGGGAUAGUCUCCUGAAAGGGAGUUUAAUACCGGAUGUGUUUGUCUUUCCGCAUGGGAGCGACAAAUAAAGAUUAAUUGGUAAAGGAUGGGGAUGCGUCCCAUUAGCUUGUUGGUGAGGUAACGGCCCACCAAGGCGACGAUCGGUAGCCGGACUGAGAGGUUGAACGGCCACAUUGGGACUGAGACACGGCCCAGACUCCUACGGGAGGCAGCAGUGGGGAAUAUUGCACAAUGGGGGAAACCCUGAUGCAGCGACGCCGCGUGGAGGAAGAAGGUCUUCGGAUUGUAAACUCCUGUUGUUGAGGAAGAUAAUGACGGUACUCAACAAGGAAGUGACGGCUAACUACGUGCCAGCAGCCGCGGUAAAACGUAGGUCACAAGCGUUGUCCGGAAUUACUGGGUGUAAAGGGAGCGCAGGCGGGAAGACAAGUUGGAAGUGAAAUCCAUGGGCUCAACCCAUGAACUGCUUUCAAAACUGUUUUUCUUGAGUAGUGCAGAGGUAGGCGGAAUUCCCGGUGUAGCGGUGGAAUGCGUAGAUAUCGGGAGGAACACCAGUGGCGAAGGCGGCCUACUGGGCACCAACUGACGCUGAGGCUCGAAAGUGUGGGUAGCAAACAGGAUUAGAUACCCUGGUAGUCCACACUGUAAACGAUGAUUACUAGGUGUUGGAGGAUUGACCCCUUCAGUGCCGCAGUUAACACAAUAAGUAAUCCACCUGGGGAGUACGACCGCAAGGUUGAAACUCAAAGGAAUUGACGGGGGCCCGCACAAGCAGUGGAGUAUGUGGUUUAAUUCGACGCAACGCGAAGAACCUUACCAAGUCUUGACAUCCCUUGACGAUGCUGGAAACAGUAUUUCUCUUCGGAGCAAGGAGACAGGUGGUGCAUGGUUGUCGUCAGCUCGUGUUGUGAGAUGUUGGGUUAAGUCCCGCAACGAGCGCAACCCUUAUGGUCAGUUACUACGCAAGAGGACUCUGGCCAGACUGCCGUUGACAAAACGGAGGAAGGUGGGGAUGACGUCAAAUCAUCAUGCCCUUUAUGACUUGGGCUACACACGUACUACAAUGGCGUUAAACAAAGAGAAGCAAGACCGCGAGGUGGAGCAAAACUCAGAAACAACGUCCCAGUUCGGACUGCAGGCUGCAACUCGCCUGCACGAAGUCGGAAUUGCUAGUAAUCGCAGAUCAGCAUGCUGCGGUGAAUACGUUCCCGGGCCUUGUACACACCGCCCGUCACACCAUGAGAGCCGGGGGGACCCGAAGUCGGUAGUCUAACCGCAAGGAGGACGCCGCCGAAGGUAAAACUGGUGAUUGGGGUGAAGUCGUAACAAGGUA
rnacentral:rRNA from 1 species